GUGGGGGAGGGAAGAGAGGAGGAGGCGGGCCGGCUAGCAGCCGGAAGGGGCGGGCUCAGUUCCGUGACGGACAACCCCCGAACCGAGUUACCGGGAGGAGCGAGAGCAGGUUUCCGAGAAAGGAUUCCAAAGAGAUGCGCUAGGUUUGGCAGGGGCUGAGGUUACCCCCAGAUUCCCCUCGGAGGUACACUACUACACGCCCUAGCGAGGCUGGAGGACAAAUUUAGGGCCGUAGCGCGAGGGAUACUUUCUGUGAAACGAGAGCUACCAGUCGCAGCAGCCUGCAUUGUGCCAAGAAGCCUCAGAGCGGGAGACUGUAACGGCUAACCCAGGAGAGGGGCUGUUGAGGACGAUUCCAGACACCUUGUGAGACAACCAGCUACAGCUGGGGAAGAAUCCACUUUGAAGAGAGACCUCGCCCCCCAUAUAAACAUCAUUUCCGGGGCGGAGCGGGCGUAGGCUCCCGGAUGUGCCGCCGCUCGCUCGCUCUCUUUUUUACCCUCACUUUUUCCUCUUCCGGCCCUCAGGAGCGAAGAGGCGAGGUUUUGACUCCCUCCCUACCUACAGGGCGGGGAGUAAGCGCCACUAAGGAACGAGAAAUCGGUCUCUCCCGAACGCGAAAACGCAUGGCGGGCCCCCUCCGGGAAAGGCGUUGGGAGGUGGGGUGACCUAGUCUGUUCCUAGAGCCCCGUUAUCUUCAGCCCUCUUAAGUGCUCGUCCCUUUUUGAAGCUGACCAAAGCAGGAUUUGAGCUCAACCCCGUGUCCUACUACUAGCCUCGUCCCGGUCGCCGGUUCCCUAACAACCUGCUGUACUAAGGGUCUUGCUCCUUCCGGGUGUUUUGAGAUAGACGAAUGGCUUCCCUUGGUGAUGGAUAUUGUUAGCACACAACUGUCUCGAACCCCCAUUGGUAUCGAAUUAGCCUCUAACGCCACAGGGUUCAACCAUAUUCCCCCAAUUCCCAGCAGACAAGAAUCCUGCAGAAAUAUGCCCUCAGGCCCUGCCAAUACACCAAACCAACACAGGCAGCUAAGCUGCUUAUGCAGGACAAUAACUUGGAUAUUCGAGUAUUAGGAAGUCAGUUCUCUUGAGGCUUAAUUUUUGCACCUUCAGAAUGAGGGUUUGGGGCCUGCUAAAAUAAUAGCUACCGUUUCCGAAGUUUUAUUCUGCCCCAGACGUUGUGCUUAGUGUUUUGCAUGCAUUAUCUCAUUUAAUCCUCACAACACCACCAUCAGGUACAUAAUACUCAUUUUGGAGAAGGUACAGUCUUAACUAAAAGUCAGUGGUUUUAUUUUACAAUUUUGCACCAUGGAGUAUUAGAUAAGAGUAUUUUAUGAAUCAGCUGAACAAUAGAUUCAAGAAAGUAAUGUUGCCUUUGGUAAUCUCAUAAUGAGUUACAGAGU
ensembl:lncRNA